rnacentral:rRNA from 1 species
AUUGAACGCUAGCGGGAUGCUUUACACAUGCAAGUCGAACGAGUGGCGGAAGGGUGAGUAAUAUCUCGGAACGUGCCCAGUAGCGGGGGAUAACUACUCGAAAGCGUGGCUAAUACCGCAUACUAUCGGAGCGGCCGAUAUCGGAUUAGCUAGUUGGGGGGGUAAAGGCUCACCAAGGAGACGAUCCCUAGCUGGUUUGAGGGGACGACCAGCCACACUGGGACUGAGACACGGCCCAGACUCCUACGUGAGGCAGCAGUGGGGAAUUUUGUACAAUGGGCGAAACCCUGACCCAGCCAUCCCGCGUGUAUGAGAAGGCCUUCGGGUUGUAAAGUACUUUUGGCAGAGAAGCGGUAUCUGAAGAAUAAGCACCGGCUAACUACGUGCCAGCCGCCGCGGUAAUUC